rnacentral:rRNA from 1 species
AACGAACGCUGGCAGCGUGGAUGAGGCAUGCAAGUCGAGCGGGAUUGCCGAUGUAGCAAUACAACGGCAUGAGAGCGGCGAAAGGGUGCGUAACGCGUAGGCAAUCUACCUUAAAGUUCGGGAUAACUCCGCGAAAGCGGUGCUAAUACCGGAUGUGAUCCGCCGGUCGCAUGACUGGUUGAUUAAAGACGGGGACCGCAAGGCCUGUCGUCUUUUUGAGGAGCCUGCGUCCUAUCAGCUAGUUGGUGAGGUAACCGGCCCACCAAGGCUUACGGGUAGGUGGACUGAGAGGUUGGUCACCCACACUGGGACUGAGACACUGCCCAGACUCCGUACGGGUGGCUG